GACGAACGCUGGCGGCGUGCCUAAUACAUGCAAGUAGAACGCUGAAGGAGGAGCUUGCUCUUCUGGAUGAGUUGCGAACGGGUGAGUAACGCGUAGGUAACCUGCCUGGUAGCGGGGGAUAACUAUUGGAAACGAUAGCUAAUACCGCAUAACAGUAGAUGUUGCAUGACAUUUACUUAAAAGGUGCAAUUGCAUCACUACCAGAUGGACCUGCGUUGUAUUAGCUAGUUGGUGGGGUAACGGCUCACCAAGGCGACGAUACAUAGCCGACCUGAGAGGGUGAUCGGCCACACUGGGACUGAGACACGGCCCAGACUCCUACGGGAGGCAGCAGUAGGGAAUCUUCGGCAAUGGACGGAAGUCUGACCGAGCAACGCCGCGUGAGUGAAGAAGGUUUUCGGAUCGUAAAGCUCUGUUGUAAGAGAAGAACGAGUGUGGGAGUGGAAAGUUCACACUGUGACGGGAUCUUACCAGAAAGGGACGGCGAACUACGG
rnacentral:rRNA from 1 species